CGCAGCUAUUCUCUUUAUUUACCGGAAGAGGAGGCGACCCUCUCCUCUUUGACCAUCUACUAGGCGACAAGAACCCUAUUUCCUCGCCUUUCCUUUCUCUUUUAGGUUUGGUUUCUGUCCUUGUUUAGGUUUGGGUUCCGCACUGCAAGGGCAUCUUCAUCACCGCCGCCGCAUCCAUUUCGAUCAUGAAUCGUGAGAAGCUUAUCAAGAUGGCUGGUGCAGUCCGCACCGGUGGAAAAGGCAGUAUGCGCUGGUUUAUUAGAUAUAUUUAUAUUCUGGAGUAUCAUUUUCUUUGGAUCUGUUAAGUUUAUCAUGAUUCAUUAUUUUAUUCUUUGGGAUACAUGAUAUUUCUUUCCUGCAUUCUAGCUUAUAUAAUCCUUAUAAUAUCCCUCACUAUAAUACUAAGCAUGUAACAUGCUGAAUCAUUUUGUUGUGGUAUGGUCCUGAGGUUAUAUCCUUCUGACCAUAGACAAUUCUCCAAUCAAGGAAUGCUUUAAAACCUUAGAUGUGAAGAAAUGUUUCUUUUAUUAGAGUGGCCUUUUUUUUGUUUUUGUUUUUCUAGCUAUCUUGUUCAUUGGUUUACAAGUCAGCAUUCUUUGUCUAGCUUUCACCAACUAUUUUUCUUUUUAAAUCCCAAAGGUAAACCAAAAUGAAAAUUGAUUAAGCUAGUUAAUGAUUUCAUGUAUCAUAUAACAAAAUUGAAUUAUGACAUUCAACUCCUUUUGUUUUAUUUUUAGUAUAAGCUUCGAUUACAACCAAUACAUGGGUGAUUAGCAAUUCUCCUAAGACCAAAAAUAUAGUUUUUUUCCUUUUCAUAUUAACUAUUUUGCAAGAGUAGGAGACUACAUUCAUAAAUUAAGGAAAAAUAGAAUAAAUUUCAUUAAGUAGAUUAUUAAUAAGUAGCUAAUACUUUAUAUAUGUUUUUGACUUGACAAUAUAUUUAAACAUCAACUUUUUAAAUAUGAUGUCCUCCUAUAAUUUCUCUUGUAAAAGUUUUCUGGAAGUAUAACCUUAUAUUUUCUGGUUUCAGAACUUUAGGACUUAGUCCCUACAAUCAUCAAUCAGUUAGAUAUGCUUCAUGAAAACAAUCAGUGUUUUCUAAUCUUCAAUUGGAAUUCUAGAACCAACGGAGGCUCACUGAGCAAUUCUAGAAACAAGCACCUCAUGUUGCUCCUGCUACUAAAGGUGGAGAAGAUGAUGAUGAUAAUAUCCCAGAGCUUGUGCCUAGAAAGACAUUUGAACAAGUUGCAGAGGAGAAACAAGCUUCAUAGAUAUAGACUAUCCAACAAGUUUGUCCUCUGUUUUCUAUGUUAUAAUUGCUAUGUCUAUUGCAAUUUAUGAUAGUAAUCAGAACCAGUUAUUUGGUUAGUGAUGUGUAUAGUUAAUUUUGUAAAACUUAAGAUUAUUUAAGAAACUUAUUGGGAUAAA